rnacentral:rRNA from 1 species
AUUUUGAAGAGUAAUCGGAUUAAUAGUUAGUGGCGAAAGGGUGAGGAAUGGAUAGGUAACGUACCUCGGGCUCCGGAAUAGCUCAUCGAAAGGUGGGGUAAUGCCGGAUGAUGUCCUGUGUUUAAUGCACGGGACCAAAGAUUUAUCGGCCCCUGAGCGGCCUAUUCCCUAUCAGCUUGUUGGUGAGGUAACGGCUCACCAAGGCGACGACGGGUAGCGGGACUGAGAGGUUGACCCGCCACAUCGGAACUGAGACACUGUCCGGACCUCCACGGAGGGCUGCAGUAACGAAUAUUGGGCAAUGGGCGAAAGCCUGACCCAGCAAUGCCGCGUGUAGGAUGAAGCUUUUCGGAGUGUAAACUACUUUCAGGGAUUAGAAAGCUACGGUUGAUCAAUCCCAGAAGAAGUCACGGCUAACUUCGUGCCAGCAGCCGCGGUAAUACGAAGGUGGCAAGCGUUAUUCGAAAUCACUGGGCUUAAAGGGCGCGUAGGCGGAUAUGUAAGUGUUAGGUGAAAUCCCUCGGCUUAACCGAGGAAUUGCUUAGCAAACUGCAUAUCUUGAGUCAAGUAGGGGUGUGUGGAACUCUUGGUGGAGCGGUGGAAUGCGUAGAUAUCAAGAGGAACGCCGAAGGUGAAGACAGCACACUGGACUUGU